AGGAGAUUUGCUGCAAAGGAGAAAAGUACUGAAGGGAAGGAUGGACCAUGGAUGUCCUAAAGAAAUCAUCAGACAAAUUUACAAACCACCAGGUUCCAAACACUACCAUGAUGCCAACUGGACUUUCUUGGGCAGACAACUCCAUGAAUGUGUCCUGGAGCCCCACUUCCCCAGAGCUCUGCCCCACUAGGAAAAAAGAGAGACAGGCUGGAAGUAUGGAUCAACCUGUCAAUGCCCAUAUUCAGCGGGGAAGCAAUUACAGAAGCUAGAGCUUCCAUCUUCUGCACCCCAUAAUGACCCUGGGUCCAUACUCCUAGAGGGAUAAAGAAUAGGAAAGCUAUCAGGGGAGGGGAUGGGAUAUGGAGUUCUGAUGGUGGGAACUAUGUGGAAUUGUACUCCUCCUAUCCUAUGGUCUUGUCAGUGUUUCCAUUUUAUAAAUAAAAAUAAAAAUAAAAAAAAACAUGUAGUAGUGUUUGGUAAAAAAUCAGAAUCCUGAAAUCCUGCCAUGCCUUUCUUUUUUCAUAAUUAAAAAUUUAUUGAGGGUGUUAAAUGCUUUAUAAUUAAUUCAUUGAUAUCUGCAUACAGUUUCAUUAUGUACCAGGCUCCUAAAUUUUUCUCCUUCCCCUCCCUCCCCAGAGUCCUUUGCUUUGGUGCAAUACACCAUGUUCAGUCCAAGUUUCACUUUGUGCUAUCUCUCCCUGCCCCAACUUUAUUAAGUCCUGCUAAUAAAUGAGAUCAUUUGCUAUUCAUUA